GGUGCACUGAAAUGGUAGUCUGAGGCAGGAGAGGACAGUAGAAUUCCUGGUGUAGCGUGAAAUGCGUAGAAUCAGGAGGAAUACCAGUGGCGAAGGCGACUGUCUGGACUGACCCUGACGCUGAGGUGCGAAAGCGUGGUAGCAAACAGGAUUAGAUACCCUGGUAGUCCACGCCGUAAACGAUGGAUACUAGGUGUGGGAGGUAUCGACCCCUUCCGUGCCGCAGCUAACGCAAUAAGUAUCCCGCCUGGGGAGUACGGUCGCAAGGCUGAAACUCAAAGGAAUUGACGGGGGCCCGCACAAGCGGUGGAGCAUGUGGUUUAAUUCGAUGCAACGCGAAGAACCUUACCAGGUCUUGACAUCUGUAGAACCUCUAUGAAAGUAGAGGGUGCCUUCGGGAGCUACAAGACAGGUGGUGCAUGGUUGUCGUCAGCUCGUGUCGUGAGAUGUUGGGUUAAGUCCCGCAACGAGCGCAACCCUUGCUAUUAGUUGCUAACAUUUCGGAUGAGCACUCUAAUGGGACUGCCCGUGACAAGCGGGAGGAAGGUGGGGAUGACGUCAAAUCAUCAUGCCCUUUAUGAUCUGGGCUACACACGUGCUACAAUGGAUGGUACAGAGAGCAGCGAGGCCGCGAGGUGGAGCGAAUCUCAAAAAGCCAUUCUCAGUUCGGAUUGCAGUCUGCAACUCGACUGCAUGAAGUCGGAAUCGCUAGUAAUCGCGAAUCAGCAUGUCGCGGUGAAUGCGUUCCCGGGCCUUGUACACACCGCCCGU
rnacentral:rRNA from 1 species